AUCAAGCUGACAAGUCCCGAAUAAGACGAAACGCGCGUCCUGGGU
rnacentral:hammerhead_ribozyme from 1 species